rnacentral:rRNA from 1 species
GACGAACGCUGGCGGCGUGCUUAACACAUGCAAGUCGAGCGGUAAGGCCCUUUCGGGGGUACACGAGCGGCGAACGGGUGAGUAACACGUGGGUGACCUGCCCUCAGCUCUGGGAUAAGCCUGGGAAACUGGGUCUACUACUGGAUAUGACUCCACGGUGCAUGUCGUGGGGUGGAAAGCCUUGUGCGGCUGAGGAUGGGCCCGCGGCCUAUCAGCUUGUUGGUGGGGUGANGGCCUACCAAGGCGACGACGGGUAGCCGGCCUGAGAGGGCGACCGGCCACACUGGGACUGAGACACGGCCCAGACUCCUACGGGAGGCAGCAGUGGGGAAUCUUGCGCAAUGGGCGAAAGCCUGACGCAGCGACGCCGCGUGAGGGAUGACGGCCU